rnacentral:rRNA from 1 species
AGCACGAAGGUUGGCUAAUCCUGGUCGGACAUCAGGAGGUUAGUGCAAUGGCAUAAGCCAGCUUGACUGCGAGCGUGACGGCGCGAGCAGGUGCGAAAGCAGGUCAUAGUGAUCCGGUGGUUCUGAAUGGAAGGGCCAUCGCUCAACGGAUAAAAGGUACUCCGGGGAUAACAGGCUGAUACCGCCCAAGAGUUCAUAUCGACGGCGGUGUUUGGCACCUCGAUGUCGGCUCAUCACAUCCUGGGGCUGAAGUAGGUCCCAAGGGUAUGGCUGUUCGCCAUUUAAAGUGGUACGCGAGCUGGGUUUAGAACGUCGUGAGACAGUUCGGUCCCUAUCUGCCGUGGGCGCUGGAGAACUGAGGGGGGCUGCUCCUAGUACGAGAGGACCGGAGUGGACGCAUCACUGGUGUUCGGGUUGUCAUGCCAAUGGCACUGCCCGGUAGCUAAAUGCGGAAGAGAUAAGUGCUGAAAGCAUCUAAGCACGAAACUUGCCCCGAGAUGAGUUCUCCCUGAGACUUAGAGUCUCCUGAAGGAACGUUGAAGACGACGACGUUGAUAGGCCGGGUGUGUAAGCGCAGCGAUGCGUUGAGCUAACCGGUACUAAUGAACCGUGAGGCUUAACCUU